GAGUUUGAUCCUGGCUCAGGAUGAACGCUAGCGAUAGGCUUAACACAUGCAAGUCGAGGGGCAUCACUUUAAGGUGGCGACCGGCGCACGGGUGAGUAACACGUAUGCAACCUGCCCAUUACUUGGGGAUAGCCCGGAGAAAUUCGGAUUAAUACCCAAUGACACAGGGAUACCACAUGGUAAUAUUUGUUAAAGAUUUAUUGGUAAUGGAUGGGCAUGCGCAGGAUUAGAUAGUUGGUGAAGGUAACGGCUCACCAAGUCAGCGAUCCUUAGGGGAACUGAGAGGUUUAUCCCCCACACUGGUACUGAGACACGGACCAGACUCCUACGGGAGGCAGCAGUGAGGAAUAUUGGUCAAUGGUCGAGAGACUGAACCAGCCAAAUCGCGUGAAGGACGAAGGUAUUAUGUAUUGUAAACUUCUUUUGUAGGGGAAUAAAGUGCAGGACGCGUCCUGUUUUGUAUGUACCUUUCGAAUAAGCAUCGGCUAACUCCGUGCCAGCAGCCGCGGUAAUACGGAGGAUGCGAGCGUUAUCCGGAUUUAUUGGGUUUAAAGGGUGCGUAGGUGGAUGGAUCAGUCAGCGGUGAAAUCCCGGAGCUUAACUCCGGCACUGCCGUUGAAACUGUCCGUCUUGAGUGUAAACGAGGCAGGCGGAAUUCGUAGUGUAGCGGUGAAAUGCAUAGAUAUUACGAAGAACCCCGAUAGCGCAGGCAGCUUGCCAGGCUACAACUGACACUGAAGCACGAAAGUGUGGGUAUCAAACAGGAUUAGAUACCCUGGUAGUCCACACAGUAAACGAUGAUUACUCGCUGUUUGCGAUAUACGGCAAGCGGCUUAGCGAAAGCGUUAAGUAAUCCACCUGGGGAGUACGCCGGCAACGGUGAAACUCAAAGGAAUUGACGGGGGCCCGCACAAGCGGAGGAACAUGUGGUUUAAUUCGAUGAUACGCGAGGAACCUUACCCGGGCUCGAACGGCUGUUGAAUGAUUGUGAAAGCAGUCAGUCGCAAGACAACA
rnacentral:rRNA from 1 species